UACGGAGGGGGCAAGCGUUGUUCGGAAUUACUGGGCGUAAAGGGCUCGUAGGUGGCCAACUAAGUCAGACGUGAAAGCCCCGGGCUUAACCUGGGAAUGGCAUUUGGGACUGCAAGUCUUGAGUGCGGCAGAGGAGACUGGAAUUCCUGGUGUAGCAGUGAAAUGCGUAGAUAUCAGGAGGAAUACCGAUGGCGAAGGCAGGUCUCUGGGCUGACACUGACGCUCAUGCACGAAAGCGUGGGGAGCAAACAGG
rnacentral:rRNA from 1 species